CGUUGAAAUCUAAUUGUUGAUUGGUUGCUGUGCAUAAUGUUGGCUGCAGAAGUAAGAACUGAAAGUUGAAGAAUAGAAUCACAAAACGGUCAUGUACAAAGGGAACUAGGCACUAGUUUGAGAGUCAUAACUGAAGAAGAAUUAGAGAGAAUUGUCUGGGUCUUGGUGAUCCCUCUCCUGUUAAAUAGACCUUCUAUAUUCCAGAAACUGUAAGGUAAGCUUUUCCCUGUUAGCACUGUCUAUUGCUCCCUCUCACCAUGGUGUCACAUCCAUCCAGGGUAUUUCUAGCAGACUCAUCAGGAAAUCACAUACAUACAUUAAGACUCUCCUAUAUAGACAGCUUGGGAACGUAUUGGGGAUCUUUCCAUUGCGGCCCUGGGCAGGCUACAUUAUGUUGGAAAUGAAUAACAUGGGGCCCUACCAUAUGUGAUUAUUUUGAACAAACAAUGUACGCAGUAACAUUAGGCGGCCAGGGCUUUUUGUGCAAUUUUCUGCUUUCCUAAAUACAUCUUAUUUCUCUUUUUAUCCCACCUGGAAGCAAUUUGCCACCUCAGCUUGCUGGAGGAGUCGGCAUUAGACAGCAGGUAACAAUCAUCUGGCUUUGCCCAGCCAUAUGCAACCUGCAGCCCUCCAGCUGUUAUUGAACUGCAGUUCCCAUCAUUGCUUAAUAGACUUUGACUUGUCAU